CUAUAAAGUGACCAUACAAAUUUUUACUUUAGCAACAAAUGUGAAAAAAUAUGGUUAAAAAUUUCAAAUUUUUUUAUAUUAUAAUUAUUUAUCUUUUCUUAUUUUUCAUUAUAACAGAUGGAGUAAUUUAUAGAUGCAAAUCUAAUAAAGAAUGUCGUAGGCAAAUGUUGUGUAUCUCUCCUAAACGUCCAACAUGCAUAGACAAUGUUUGUGUUUGUCGGUAAUAAUAGCAAUCGAGUGUUCAAAUUUAAUUGAUCGACUCAAAAGUUUAUUAUUGUCUUGUGUUUGUUAUCAAGAAUAAUGUAAUUCCACUAUAAUAAAUAAAGAUAGUAUAUGAUUAUAUAUAGUAUAAAUUAUUCUUAUUUUAAGUUUAACUAGUGUAAGGCUGAUGUAUGAUAUUAAUUAAAUUAAUAGAUUCUCUGAAAAGAGCUCAAACAA